GUCCUGGGGAAGGGCAAUGGAAAAUUCCUCCCAGACGUGUAUCAGCAUAUCAAAAGCAAGUUCAUUAUGAAACUAAAGAAUAAAUUUGCUUUACUUGAGGUGAUUUCAGAAGAUAUUGACAUAGAAGGGAAAUGGAAAAACUUCGAUAAAGCAUUCAACCAGACAGCCAAAGAAGUACUCA